CAAUAAGCGGAGGAAAAGAAACCAACAGGGAUUGCCCCAGUAACGGCGAGUGAAGCGGCAACAGCUCAGAUUUGGAAUCUGGCCCCCAGGGCCCGAGUUGUAAUCUGGAGAGGAUGCUUCUGGCGCGGCGCCUUCCGAGUUCCCUGGAACGGGACGCCGGAGAGGGUGAGAGCCCCGUACGGUCGGACGCCCAGCCUGUGUUGAAGCUCCUUCGACGAGUCGAGUAGUUUGGGAAUGCUGCUCAAAAUGGGAGGUAAAUUUCUUCUAAAGCUAAAUAUUGGCCAGAGACCGAUAGCGCACAAGUAGAGUGAUCGAAAGAUGAAAAGCACUUUGAAAAGAGGGUCAAACAGUACGUGAAAUUGUUGAAAGGGAAGCGCCCGUGGCCAGACUUGCGCCCGGCGGUACCACCCGGCGCCACAGCGCCGGGGCAUUCCGCCGGGCGCAGGCCAGCAUCGGUUUUCCCAGGGGGACAAAGGUGGCGGGAACGUAGCUCCUCCGGGAGUGUUAUAGCCCGCCGCGCCAUGCCCCUGGGGGGACCGAGG
rnacentral:rRNA from 1 species